AGGUUGGGCGGCUGUCUGUAAGCGAGGACUGGUCUGUCUCCCAAGAUCUGUGAGAGUGAGGGAUCAUCUUUCAGGAAAGAUUGUAGAUCUUUGAUAAUGCACUGAAGAGGUAAAACAGUUUUAGUUGGGGGCUGAAG